GCAUGAAAACGUCCAGGGCUCACUGUCAGAUGUUGAGGCUGUGUCCCCCACAGUGCCUCGGGUCACAACCAGCAUAGGUCAUCCCAGGAGACCCUAUGAGACCCUUUAUAAAGGGUGUUUGCCCCUCAGUGGCCUGCGGAGAGCCCCCUGUGGUGGAGCAUGCCAGGACCUUCGGGCAGAAGAAGGACCGGUAUGAGAUCAAUUCCCUGGUGCGGUACCAGUGCACAGAGGGGUUUGUCCAGCGCCACAUGCCCACCAUCCGGUGCCAGCCCAGCGGGCACUGGGAGGAGCCUCAGAUCACCUGCACAGACCCCACCACCUACAAACGCAGACUACAGAAGCGGAGCUCACGGCACCCUCGGAGGAGCCGCCCCAGCACAGCCCACUGAGAAGAGCUUCCAGGACGCACCCAGGACGCUGAGCCCAGGAGCCUGCCAGGCUGACGUGCAUCCCACCCAGACGGUGUCCUCUUCUUGUCGCUUUUUGUCAUAUAAGGAAUCCCAUUAAAGAAGGAAAAAAAUAAAUCCCACAUUUGUGUAUGCACCCACUCACCCCUCCAAAUCAGCAAAACCGCAUCUAAUUUGUCCGCCGAAUGCCAAAGCAAAGCAAACUUAUUAUAACCCUUGGACUGAGUUUAGAGACAUUUCUUCAAUUUCCCAUCGUGCCUUUCCAGGGACCAGUGCAGGGACAGGGGGAGAAGGGGAGGGGUUAAGUUAAAUAAAGAAGAUUAUUUUUGUUUCCUGACUUUA
rnacentral:lncRNA from 1 species